rnacentral:tRNA from 1 species
UAGAGCAGAGGACUGAAAAUCCUCGUGUCAC